AGUCCAGAAGCAGAAUGGAUCCACCGAUUGUGGUCUAUUCGCUAUUCCAAAUUGCGUUUUAAGUAGCAAGUGGAAAUAAGUGUUCUUUCACCAGUCAGCAGUGAGAAAUCACUUGGUCGAUUGCCUGGAAAAGAAAGAAAUCUUGUCGUUCCCUCGUGCUCGAAAGACGGCUGCAGUGGCAACAACAAUGAAAAACAAUACAUUGUGCUUGUCAAUUGCCAAAAUAUGGCGACAUGGUCCAUGCAGAGUAAUCUUUGUGACAUGCAGUGGCGCCGCCAGCUCGG